AUUGAACGCUGGCGGCAGGCCUAACACAUGCAAGUCGAGCGGAUGACGGGAGCUUGCUCCUUGAUUCAGCGGCGGACGGGUGAGUAAUGCCUAGGAAUCUGCCUGGUAGUGGGGGACAACGUUUCGAAAGGAACGCUAAUACCGCAUACGUCCUACGGGAGAAAGCAGGGGACCUUCGGGCCUUGCGCUAUCAGAUGAGCCUAGGUCGGAUUAGCUAGUUGGUGAGGUAAUGGCUCACCAAGGCGACGAUCCGUAACUGGUCUGAGAGGAUGAUCAGUCACACUGGAACUGAGACACGGUCCAGACUCCUACGGGAGGCAGCAGUGGGGAAUAUUGGACAAUGGGCGAAAGCCUGAUCCAGCCAUGCCGCGUGUGUGAAGAAGGUCUUCGGAUUGUAAAGCACUUUAAGUUGGGAGGAAGGGCAGUAAGUUAAUACCUUGCUGUUUUGACGUUACCGACAGAAUAAGCACCGGCUAACUCUGUGCCAGCCGCCGCGGUAACAC
rnacentral:rRNA from 1 species